AGCGAACGCUGGCGGCAGGCCUAACACAUGCAAGUCAAACGAACUCUUCGGAGUUGGUGGCGGACGGGUGAGUAACACGUGGGAACGUGCCUUUUGGUUCGGAAUAACUCAGGGAAACUUGUGCUAAUACCGAAUGUGCCCUUCGGGGGAAAGAUUUAUCGCCAUUAGAGCGGCCCGCGUCUGAUUAGCUAGUUGGUGAGGUAACGGCUCACCAAGGCGACGAUCAGUAGCUGGUCUGAGAGGAUGACCAGCCACACUGGGACUGAGACACGGCCCAGACUCCUACGGGAGGCAGCAGUGGGGAAUCUUGCGCAAUGGGCGAAAGCCUGACGCAGCCAUGCCGCGUGAAUGAUGAAGGUCUUAGGAUUGUAAAAUUCUUUCACCGGGGACGAUAAUGACGGUACCCGGAGAAGAAGCCCCGGCUAACUUCGUG
rnacentral:rRNA from 1 species